rnacentral:rRNA from 1 species
UAGUCCACGCAGUAAACGAUGAAUACUCGCUGUAGUCGGUAUUGACCCCGACUGUAGCUUAGCUAACGCGUUAAGUAUUCCGCCUGGGAAGUACGGUCGCAAGAUUAAAACUCAAAGGAAUUGACGGGGACCCGCACAAGCGGUGGAUCAUGUGGUUUAAUUCGAAGCAACGCGCAGAACCUUACCCGGCCUUGACAUCCCACUGAAUGUUUUAGAGAUAAUUCAGACCCGCAAGGGACGGUGGUGACAGGUGCUGCAUGGCUGUCGUCAGCUCGUGUCGUGAGAUGUUCGGUUAAGUCCGGCAACGAGCGCAACCCUCGUCAUUAGUUGCCAUCAUUAAGUUGGGCAUUCUAGUGAGACUGCCGAUGUCAAAUCGGAGGAAGGUGGGGAUGACGUCAAGUCCUCAUGGCCCUUACGGCCGGGGCUACACACGUGAUACAAUGGAUGGCACAGAGAGCUGCCAACUCGCGAGAGGGAGCUAAUCUCAAAAAACCAUCCCCAGUUC